rnacentral:rRNA from 1 species
UACGUAGGUGACGAGCGUUAUCCGGAAUUACUGGGCGUAAAGCGCACGCAAGCGGUCUGACAAGUCUGGCGUGAAAUCCUCUGGCUUAACCAGGGGCGGUCGCUGGAGACUGUUAGGCUUGAGGCGAUGAGAGGGGUGCAGAAUUCCCGGUGUAGUGGUGGAAUGCGUAGAGAUCGGGAGGAAUACCAGUGGCGAAAGCGGCACCCUGGCGUCGGCCUGACGCACAUGUGCGAAAGCGUGGGGAGCGAACGGG